GCUGGCGUAGCUCAACGGUAGAGCAGCUCACUUGUAAUGAGCAGGUUGGGGGUUCGACUCCCUCCGCCAGCU
rnacentral:tRNA from 1 species